rnacentral:tRNA from 1 species
GCGGAUGUAGUUUAGUGGUAAAACUCCAGCUUCCCAAGCUGGCAUUGCGAGUUCGAUUCUCGUCAUCCGCUCCA